rnacentral:lncRNA from 1 species
GGAUUUUCAUCUCUACUUUCCAGAUAAGGAAACUGACAAAGAAGUAAAAUGACAUUUCCCACAUCACACUGUUGUCUCAUUGCAGGACCAGGAAGAGGAUCAUUGACACGAAGGGGGACACUAACUCACAGGUGCGUUUCUGCCAUUCAUCUCUGUGCUUCCUGGGGGUUAACCUUAAACUCUUUUCCACGAGGACCCAGAUUGACAGUCUCUGAGGAUGUCAGUUAUUACAGUGAGUCCUCAGAAACAGGCCUGUCCAAAGGGAAAUCCGGAGGAGGGAAAUUAAAACCUGUUCUCAGAGUCCCUGUCCUGACCAUCCACAGGGAUACAAGUAUGACAGGCCUGGGCAGUGGGACUCGUCUACUCAGUGGUGGUGUGAGUUGUAGUGUCCAUGAGUCAGGGUUAUCCUGA